rnacentral:rRNA from 1 species
GUAACCUGCCCUAGACAGGGGGAUAACUAUUGGAAACGAUAGCUAAGACCGCAUAGGUACGGACACUGCAUGGUGACCGUAUUAAAAGUGCCUCAAAGCACUGGUAGAGGAUGGACUUAUGGCGCAUUAGCUGGUUGGCGGGGUAACGGCCCACCAAGGCGACGAUGCGUAGCCGACCUGAGAGGGUGACCGGCCACACUGGGACUGAGACACGGCCCAGACUCCUACGGGAGGCAGCAUUG